AUUGAACGCUGGCGGCAGGCCUAAUACAUGCAAGUCGAACGAGUGGCGGACGGGAGAGGAAUGUAUGGGAAACUGCCAGAUGGAGGGGGAUAACUACUGGAAACGGUAGCUAAUGCCGAAUACCAUCUGCUGUGACCAGGUGGGAUUAGCUAGUAGGGGGGGUAACGGCUCACCUAGGCGACGAUCCAUAGCUGGUCUGAGAGGAUGACCAGCCACACCGGAACUGAGACACGGUCCAGACUCCUACGGGAGGCAGCAGUGGGGAAUAUUGCACAAUGGGCGCAAGCCUGAUGCAGCCAUGCCGCGUGUAUGAAGAAGGCCUUCGGGUUGUAAAGUACUUUCAGCGGGGAGGCGUUACCCGCUGAAGAAGCACCGGCUAACUCCGUGCCAGCAGCCGCGGUAAUUC
rnacentral:rRNA from 1 species